rnacentral:rRNA from 1 species
CGCGGCUGCGUUAUAGAUGCGAUCUUUUACUGCGCUCUUGACUUACUUACAUGGCAUUUGAGGUAGUUCUUGAGCUUAAUACAUGCACCAAAGCUUUGACCGUAAGGGAAAAGCGCAUUUAUAGAACAAACUAUUGCCAGCAGCCGCGGUAAUUCCAGCUCGGGCGGGGGCGGCGGGCCGGGCGCGGGGCGCGGCGUGCGAGCCUUUCGGUAUCUGCUUUAUCAACUUUCGAUGGUAGGGUAUCUGCCUACCAUGGUGGUGACGGAUAACGGAGGAUCAGGGUUCGACUCCGGAGAAGGGGCCUGAGAAAUGGCCACUACGUCUAAGGAUGGCAGCAGGCGCGCAAAUUACCCACUCUCAGAAUUUGGAGGAGGUACUGACGAUAAAUAACGAGGUUGAUCUCUUCAGAGGCCAACCAUCGGAAUGGGUACAAUUUAAACCCUUUAACGAGUAUCUAUGAGAGGGCAAGUCUGGUGCCAG